rnacentral:lncRNA from 1 species
AGGAGGGAGGAGUGGUGGCGUUAGAGUUGCCUUUUGUUGUGAAGAAGCGGGGAAGGGGAUUGAGAAUCAUGGGCCCAGUGAGUUUUAUUGUUCUCCAAUUCGGCUCCUUGUGUGUAGUGGAGCAGCGAUGGUUUGUCACCUGCUGUGCAAGUAAUGCUCCGAACAAGACGCUUUGGUUCCCGAAAAGAGGGGCGAGGAUUCUGUGUUUUCUAUUGGCAUUUUGCAGUCUCCUGCUUCCGUGAUCGUGCACACCUUCGGCUCGUUGCUAAUUUGAAGCCACUUUUCGAGGGGUGACGAUGGAGAUCAGCAGAGUGUCAACUUGGGUAGGAGAAUCUUGCAGUCUACAAGGGAGAGAUUCUUCCAUGAAAUCAAAAGUAGUGUGUGUAAUUGUGAGUGGGAAAAAACACAAAUUGUGUGCAAUAAGAAGAA